rnacentral:rRNA from 1 species
CUUUGUAGGAAAUGACAAAGCGAUGACGUUAAUUUAUGAAUAAGCCCCGGCUAAUUACGUGCCAGCAGCCGCGGUAAUACGUAAGGGGCGAGCGUUGUUCGGGAUCAUUGGGCGUAAAGGGUGAGUAGGCGGAUAUGCAAGUCUAUGUGUAAAAUACCACAGCUCAACUGUGGAACUAUGCUGGAAACUGCAUGACUAGAGUCUGAUAGGGGAAGUUAGAAUUCUUGGUGUAAGGGUGGAAUCUGUUGAUAUCAGGAAGMAUACCAGAGGCGAAGGCGAACUUCUAGGUCAAGACUGACGCUGAGUCACGAAAGCGUAGGGAGCAAACAGGAUUAGAUACCCUGGUAGUCUACGCUGUAAACGAUGCACACUUGGUGUUAAUCGAAAGGUUAGUACCGAAGCUAACGUGUUAAGUGUGCCGCCUGGGGAGUAUGUUCGCAAGAAUGAAACUCAAAGGAAUUGACGGGGGCCCGCACAAGCGGUGGAGCAUGUGGUUUAAUUCGAUGAUACGCGAGGAACCUUACCAGGGCUUGACAUAUACAGGAUAUAGUUAGAGAU